rnacentral:rRNA from 1 species
AUUGAACGCUGGCGGCAGGCCUAACACAUGCAAGUCGAGCGGAUGAAGGGAGCUUGCUCCUGGAUUCAGCGGCGGACGGGUGAGUAAUGCCUAGGAAUCUGCCUGGUAGUGGGGGAUAACGUCCGGAAACGGGCGCUAAUACCGCAUACGUCCUGAGGGAGAAAGUGGGGGAUCUUCGGACCUCACGCUAUCAGAUGAGCCUAGGUCGGAUUAGCUAGUUGGUGGGGUAAAGGCCUACCAAGGCGACGAUCCGUAACUGGUCUGAGAGGAUGAUCAGUCACAACUGAAACGAGGAACGGUCCAGAAUCCCAACGGAAGGCGGCAGUGGGAAAUUUUGAACAAUGGGCGAAGGCUGAAUCAGGCCUGGCGGCUGUUGUGAGGAGGGUCUCCGGUUGGUAAAGCACUUUAGUUGGGAGGAAAGGCAAUAAGGUUAAUACCUGGUGUUUUGGACUUUCCAACCAGAAUAAGCACCGGCAAACUUCGU